AUUGAACGCUGGCGGCAGGCUUAACACAUGCAAGUCGAACGGUAACAGGGUGCUUGCACCGCUGACGAGUGGCGAACGGGUGAGUAAUGCGUCGGAACGUGCCGAGUAGUGGGGGAUAACGCAGCGAAAGUUGUGCUAAUACCGCAUACGUACUGAGGUAGAAAGUGGGGGACCUUCGGGCCUCACGCUAUUCGAGCGGCCGACGUCUGAUUAGCUAGUAGGUGAGGUAAAGGCUCACCUAGGCGACGAUCAGUAGCGGGUCUGAGAGGAUGAUCCGCCACACUGGGACGGGGACACGGCCCAGACUCCUACGGGAGGCAGCAGUGGGGAAUUUUGGACAAUGGGCGAAAGCCUGAUCCAGCCAUGCCGCGUGUCUGAAGAAGGCCUUCGGGUUGUAAAGGACUUUUGUCAGGGAGGAAAUCCCUAGUGCUAAUAACACUGGGGGAUGACAGUACCUGAAGAAUAAGCACCGGCUAACUACGUGCCAGCAGCCGCCGUAA
rnacentral:rRNA from 1 species